GAAUUCGAUUCAGGCCCAACACAUGCAAGUCGAACGGCAGCACGGACUUCGGUCUGGUGGCGAGUGAAGAACGGGUGAGUAAUGCAUCGGAACGUGCCCAAUCGUGGGGGAUAACGUAGCGAAAGUUACACUAAUACCGCAUACGAUCUAAGGAUGAAAGCGGGGGAUCGCAAGACCUCGCGCGAAUGGAGCGGCCGAUGUUAGAUUAGGUAGUUGGUGGGGUAAAGGCUCACCAAGCCGACGAUCUAUAGCUGGUCUGAGAGGAUGAUCAGCCACACUGGGAUUGAGGCGCGGCCCAGACUCCUACGGGAGGCAGCAGUGGGGAAUUUUGGACAAUGGGCGCA
rnacentral:rRNA from 1 species